GAUCAUUACAGAAUGAAAAGUGCUUAACUGCAUUUUUUCUUACACAUGUGUUUUUCUUUUUUUGAAAACUUUGCUUUGGUAGGCCUUCUAUAUGGGGCCUGCCAGAGAUUAAACUCAACCAAAUUUUAUUUAAUGUCAACCGAUUAUUUAAUAGUCAAAACUUUCAACAACGGAUCUCUUGGUUCUCGCAUCGAUGAAGAACGCAGCGAAAUGCGAUAAGUAAUAUGAAUUGCAGAUAUUCGUGAAUCAUCGAAUCUUUGAACGCACAUUGCGCCCUUUGGUAUUCCAAAGGGCAUGCCUGUUUGAGCGUCAUUUCUCCCUCAAACCCUCGGGUUUGGUGUUGAGCGAUACGCUGGGUUUGCUUGAAAGAAAGGCGGAGUAUAAACUAAUGGAUAGGUUUUUUCCACUCAUUGGUACAAACUCCAAAACUUCUUCCAAAUUCGACCUCAAAUCAGGUAGGACUACCCGCUGAACUUAAGCAUAUCA
rnacentral:misc_RNA from 1 species